rnacentral:rRNA from 1 species
CCUACGGGCGGCAGCAGUGGGGAAUAUUGGACAAUGGGGGCAACCCUGUUCCAGCCAUGCCGCGUGUGUGAAGAAGGCCCUCGGGUUGUAAAGCACUUUCAGUGAGGAAGAACGCCUGGUGGUUAAUACCCAUCAGGAAAGACAUCACUCACAGAAGAAGCACCGGCUAACUCCGUGCCAGCAGCCGCGGUAAUACGGAGGGUGCGAGCGUUAAUCGGAAUUACUGGGCGUAAAGCGCGCGUAGGUGGCUUGAUAAGCCGGUUGUGAAAGCCCCGGGCUCAACCUGGGAACGGCAUCCGGAACUGUCAAGCUAGAGUGCAGGAGAGGAAGGUAGAAUUCCCGGUGUAGCGGUGAAAUGCGUAGAGAUCGGGAGGAAUACCAGUGGCGAAGGCGGCCUUCUGGACUGACACUGACACUGAGGUGCGAAAGCGUGGGUAGCAAACAGGAUUAGAUACCCGUGUAGUC